CGACUCGGGGCCACCUUCACUUCCUGCCUCCCAGAGGCCUCCGCGCCGCCUGCUCCGGGCCUGGGGCUGAGCCUCCCCCUCUCCGCGCCUCGCUUUCCAGUAUCCAGUGUGAACCCCGCCCCCGCCCCGCCUUCAUUGCGCCUCACCUACGGAGGCCCCGCCUCCGCCCCGCCCCUCUGGCUCCGAGGGCCCGCACUGCCUGGGUUCCCCCGCCCAGUUGAGGGCGCUCCGGUCUCCGGCGGUUCUGGAGGAAAGAAAAGGCUCCCGCGGCCUCGGGCGUCCCGAGUUCCAGGCUCUGUUUGGGCCUAAGACAGUGCGGGGGGGUGGAGGGGGAGGGCGCAGAUUCUCCCCCCUCCCGCCCAAGGAAAUGUGGGCGUGGCCAGGCUCCCUUCCCCGCCUCUGACCCAAGAUGCGCAGCGAAGGGACUCCCUCCUGCCUGCUGGGCCAUUUCUGUCCCCGCAGCCCGGCUCUCCUCUCGGCUUGGGGAGCGAUUCCUCGGCCCUGGCACUGCCCCAGGCGCCGCCCCCUGUGAAAACUGCCCGGCUGCGGCCUGUUCAGGUGGUGACGCAAAUCGAAGGAGAUCCGGGAACGCGGAGCCACCCCGAGAGGAGCCGAGCUUUGCCCCGCAGGACUCCAAGUCCCGGCGUCCCUUGCUCCUCCUCGACUUGUUCCCUUUAUUUCUUCUACUCAAGUGAUUAUUACUGAAUCUCGUGGGUUGGAAUGCUGGGAGUUGGCGGAUAGGAAUUGUCAUCUUCCCUGCCUCAGUUUACCUCUUCUGUGCACAUCAGCCAAAGGACCAAAAUGAUUGUAUCGAACUAAGAAGAACGACAACAAAAUUCAUCUGGAAGAACAAGAGCUCAAGAACGUUCAGGGAAUUAGUGAAGAAAAUGUGCCCGAAGGACGGUGGCCCAGCAGGGCCAGACCUUACACUCUACUGUGAGGCAGGAGUGAAGAGCAGCUCCUAGCCGAGAAAGAGAAGGGAGAAUCCAUGGAACCGAGCAGGGGCCAGUGAGCUCCGCACUCUAGUGUUGGCUCCAGCCGAAGGGCCCAGCUUGUGGGAGAAGAACUCAGUGCUGGAAAACAGCCAGCAGAAGCGAUGCUAGGCAACACCUCAUCUCCACCAAGAUGAGGCCAGAGCAGAGGCGGCUGGCCGGGGCUCAGCACCCCCAGAAACUCGAUCAGGGCAACCCCUCUGCUCCCAACCCAGAUCUCGGCCCCCUUCGACUGGCCCGUGGAUAUGAGCUGGCCCAGCCUCCAGGACAAGCUCCUCUCCAAUCCUUGGCCCAGAGUCACGGAAAAGAAUGGAAACCCCCCAGAACGGAGGCAUUGGGGGCACCCUUCCAGGCUGCUCCCCUCGUGCUGUCUUGCUGGCCGGGAAUUCAACAUCACUCCUAAAUCGCUCUUUUUCCUCUUCAGUUCAGAAUCUUACCACUGGGAUUUGCAACAUUUCUCAGCACAAGCCAAAAGGAACUUAGCAGAAAGGAAAGAAUAUCCUUUAGAAACAGGAAGUAUAAAACCCCAAACAGAAUCAUGUGAGAGGCAAAUAGUAGAGGUUUCAUCUAAAGGUUCUAAGCAAACUGCAAAUGACUGGAUUGAAGCACAGGAGCAAACAAGAGAAAGGUCCAAUGGGGAGGCAAAUGCAAUAAGAGAGAACAUUCAAAUGAGCAGACCUCCUGGAGACAACGUCAAUUGGUAUUUAAUUGGAGUAAUGCCUCCCUCUCUCUCUUCCAUUCCAUUGCAAUGAUGUAGUAAGAAAGCUAAGGGAGGGGAAUCUGAAUUGACUAAUCAGCCAUGGGCAUGUGGUUAUUAGUGUGUAUUUUCUUUAUUCCUUGAUUUCUAAUAAUAAUCCUUAAUAAACCUCAUAACAUAAUAUUUUUAUUACUA